AUGUUGUAUGAAAGGAGAGAAGGUUAGCACUCCCCUUGAUAAGGAUGGAAGAGGCCCUGCGGCCUGUACAACACACAUAUGGUUAAGGCAUUGCCGCUUACUUCAGAGUGGCAUCUAACAACGAAAAAAA
ensembl:snRNA